rnacentral:rRNA from 1 species
AGUAUGGUCACAAGGCUGAAACUUAAAGGAAUUGACGGAAGGGCACACCAGGAGUGGAGCCUGCGGCUUAAUUUGACUCAACACGGGAAAACUUACCAAGACCGAACAGUAGAAGGAAUGACUGAUUAAGAGUUCUUUCAUGAUUUAUUGGGUAGUGGUGCAUGGCCGUUCUUAGUUGGUGGAGUGAUUUGUCUGGUUAAUUCCGGUAACGAACGAGACUGAAACCUAUUAAUUAGUUUCCUGCCUAUACGACAGGAAUCUCCGCAAGGUCAGGUGCCUCGGUACCACUUCUUAAAGGGACACAUUUCAAUUGUCUCAUUUUAAUCGAUGUCUCUGGCUCCGGUCAGAACUCUUUUAACGUGAGAAAAAGAAAAAGGAAGCAUUCAGCAAUAACAGGUCUGUGAUGCCCUUAGACAUCUUGGGCCGCACGCGCGCUACAAUGGAGUUACUAGAGAGUAUUUUAUCAUCCAAGCCUUAUAU